rnacentral:sRNA from 1 species
UGGUGUUCGGCGCGAGCCCGGCGGGGCUGCAGGUUCCGCCCUGCUCCGCCGCGCCCCGCCCGGGCUGGGGUAAAGGCCGCGGCCGGGCCAUGCAGUGUUCUCCUCAGGGAGGGCAGGAGAGCCUGAGGAGUGGCGGGGCCGCCAGAGAGCGAAAUGUCAUCAGUGCAGUCACAACAGGAGCAGUUGUCCCAGUCAGAUCCAUCUCCGUCACCAAACUCAUGUAGUUCCUUUGAGCUAAUAGACAUGGAUGCUGGCAGCUUGUAUGAACCAGUUUCUCCCCAUUGGUUUUAUUGUAAGAUAAUAGAUUCUAAGGAGACAUGGAUUCCUUUCAACUCUGAGGAUUCACAGCAGCUGGAAGAGGCAUAUAGCUCUGGAAAAGGUUGUAAUGGGAGAGUUGUUCCUACUGAUGGGGGCAGAUAUGAUGUUCAUUUGGGGGAGAGGAUGCGGUAUGCUGUAUACUGGGAUGAACUGGCAUCAGAAGUGAGACGAUGAAACUUACAUGCUUGCUGUAACUUUGGAUGAAUGGAAAAAGAAACUGGAAUCUCCCAACAGAGAAAUUAUUAUUUUACACAAUC